rnacentral:lncRNA from 1 species
AUUCUCAUUGAGUCUGGAAUCCUGCGGUGAGUUACUUUCUUUCAGUACAUUUUAGUUUGUUGUUUUCUGACUUGCAGUGUUUCUGUUUAGAAGUCGGCUGCCAGACUCGUUGUUCCUCUGAAGGUAAUGUGUUGCUUAUUGUUUUUUUUUUUUUUUCCACUAGACUUUACAAACUUUUUUAUCCCUUUUUUGCACUCUUACAAUGAGAGCAGUAACUUGCCAUGACCUCAACCUCCUAGGCAGAAGGAGAAGUCCCUUGUUUUGUUUCUAAUAGAUCAGUUUGAAAUUGCGUAACUUCAGAAAAAUGAUAUCUUCAGGAAGUGUUGGGAAAAUAAUCGACUGAGAUGAUCAAUGAAAUAUUCUCUCCUAAGAAUAAAUCCAAAGAAGGAUUUUUCCGAGGUUGCUUUUCUCUGCUGAAUGUGUGCCAAGGAACAAACAGACAUUCAGCAUCCACGGAGGAAAUAAGGCUGAGGCUGAAGGCAGUCCACAGCAUCGACGGGAGGAGAAAACGGAGCAGCUAAGCUCCCCUGGUGAAAGUAACACCCAGACAUCAUUCGAGUCCCAACUGAAAAAGAAGGAACGAGGGGAAACGUAUGGGCCCCGGUCUUUAGCAUGUGUCAGAUCCCAGACACCAGUUGUUCGCUAAGCCGUAAGCGCUGUGGACGCGAGGAAGACAGACUCUGGAGCUAGCGUGGCUGUGUCUACCCCGCUCCAUGUGACUCUCGGCAAAUUACUCAACCUCUCUGUGCCUUGGCUUCUUCAUCUGCAAAAUGGGUUUAUAGAGUUCUGGGGAGGACUGCGUGACUGAAUAUUUGUAAAGGGUUUUAGACAAGUACUGACACACCUUUAGCACUCUCGAGUGGGGAUGACAUAACUAAUAUUUAUGCGCACUCUCUGCCCUGCUGUCUUGGCUCACUCCCCUGACAGCAGAGGCAAUGCGGCUCCAGCAGAGACUCCCAGCAGGAGCCUUCUGACUCCAGGUCACCCUGGUGCAGACCUGGAGCCGAGAGAAAAAUCCCCUUCUAAGGGUGCAUGCUGCUUGAGUGGCUCACUUUCUAUCCAUGGCUUCAGGCUGCUUCAGGGUUUGAACAACCGCAGCCCUGUUUUGCACACACACAAGGUUUUUUUUGUUGUUGUUAGGCUUUUUUUUUUUUUUUUUUUUUUUUUUAUUCUAUUUGAGGAAAUGCUUUCUGCUAACCACCAGUUCCAGAAACCUAGUUCUGUGCUUUGGAUAUGGGUUUGCUCUCACGGCUUCUGUGCUUAACAUCUCGUCUCAACAUUCUGCUCAGCGCCUUGGUUUCAGGCUUUAAAAUAUUCUGCAGAUUAAUGACAGGCGUGGGUGUCCAGGAGAAGGUGUGGGGUUUACCGUUGUCUGGAACCCUGGCUGCCCUUGUUGCUUUCAAGGGGCUGUCCUUACAUAAGCCAACGUGAUGCUCCGUUUGUUUCCUUCUUUGUCAUGAUGGAAGGGCAGGAAGUGACCCAGAAGCAAAGUAGUGGGUGCUUUCAGGGUGGGAGGAGCCAGCUUGUUUCGACUGUAUCCUCCGCAGCGUUCCCAUUCUCAUGUCCAGAAUCUCCAUCACACUCUCGCUCUCUUUUUUUUUUUUUAACCAACAUACUAACUGUAGAACUGACAGAAAAGGUGGUUUCUGCAGCGGGCAGCUGUUCCAGAUUGCUGGCUGCUGGCAGAAGGGGGAGCCCACACUAUGUAGCCUGUUUAUCCCAGCUGCCCCCAGGGGAAAAGCGCUCCCUCUCUUCAGGGACUCCAAGGAAGCUUCCAGACCAUGCAGUGGAUACAGUUGUAAGUUUUGCUGCCUUCCCGCAAAGGACUCCUGGGUCAGUGCAGGAUGGUCAGAGUGGGGUCAUGUGACCUUAAAUGGUGUUGAGUAGUAACUGCGCUAAGACAGACCAGUGGAUCCCGGAGUGGGGUGAAGCUGGAGAAAUCCAGGAACAUCUGCUGGGAAUAGAAUUACAGCUGUGAUGCAUUCAAAGACGAAAACGCAGGAGGUGUCAUGAGAAUGUAUGUAACAAGGGGGGGGCAGAGGGCAGAGGCAUUUGAGGCUUUCCUGUAUAACUAGAGGUAGCUCCCCUGUUCACCAGUGUACCUGUCCUAACUGGCUUCCAAGAUACAUCCAUCAUCUUUAUUUGGCAGCCGGCCGCUGACCUUGGAUACGAAUCUUGGCAGCAGAGGCGGGGGGGGGGGGGGGGGGGGGNUACAGAGGAUGCACGAGGCCUCUGCCCACCCCGGGCAGCAUCCAGGGGUGGGUCUUCUAAUCCUCACUCGUUCUCAGUACCUGGUGCUCCUCUCCCCCAUUCCCCCAGGUAAUCCAUCAGCUGAGGGUGUCAGAGAACGAGAGCGUGGCUCUGCGGGAGCUCCUGGACUGGAGGCGGAAGCUCUGCGAGGAGCGCGAAGGCUGGCAGCAGAUCCUGGGCCACUCGGAGCCCAGAGCGCCUCCCCCGCCGCCCUGCAAAAAGCCGACCCUCUUGAAGAAGCCCGAGGGGGCCUCCUGUAGCAGGCUGCCCCCCGAGUUCUGGGACACCACCAUGUGAUGGGCAGGGCUCACGGGUGAAACCUGGGAUGCCAGGUUCACGGACAGAGGCUGCCUCUACCUGGGGUCCACGCCGGGGGCGGGCUGCACACACCCAUGGGAGACGCACAGGGCGGUGGCGAAAUAGACGAGACGCCCUGGGGGCGGGGGGCGCGUGGGCCUGUGCGCAUGCGCGGGUUCUUCCUCUCCUGUUCUGCGGGGGCGCACGCUGAGCUUGAGGCUCAGGGGGCCUGGGGCCCUGCUCCCCCGGGGGUAGCGCCAGGCCAAGUGUAGACAAGGAGGGGGAAGCCGGUGGGAAGGCGAGCCGGCCCCGCCCACGUCCUCGUCCAGUUGUUUCUAUGUGAUGUGGUCCGACCACGUGUUUCUUGGACUCCGCUCAUGUUCCGAUCAGACACCCUGCAGGACGUACAUUUUCUUUCUUUGUGGGCAUUUGUGUUUUAUUGGAAUUACAAUCCUGGUCACUAUUUACAUGUUGGUUACUGUAUUUUAUAACUUUAUGCAAUUGGUGGUGCUCCCUUUCUUCAAAAUACAGAUUUUAAAAAAUCACUUCUAGAACUUUCUUUUUCCAGAUACCUUUUUCUUUUGAAAUGCUAGGUACCUAAAAAUCCGAGACAGUGUUGUCGCUUUCGCUUCGCAGUGUCAAGCCCUGCAAACCUACGGCCAGAGUCCCUGGUCUUAUUUCCUGUGUCCAUCCAUCAGGGGGCGGUUCCUCCCUGUGCCCAGCCAGUACGUCUGGGUGCCAGGACGGUGAACUCUUUAUUGAAAUCUCAUCCUCUGACUUCAGCGGAGGUUACAGGAAAUGAUGGGACAUGCCUGGAAACCCGCAUGGCUUCAGAUUCAUAGCUAGGGGUGUGCAGGGGUCAUAGCCGUUCAAAGGUCUACGCCGCACACAUUUUCACACGGAGAUUUUCUGGCCGGAGCAGUGAUGCCGCCCACAAGACGCUUGUCCUCGCCCGGCUCUGCUGCAUGGUGCCCCCGCUGUAGGCCCCCGCCCCCGCUGGUGGCGCACCCGCCUUGCUUACCCUCGUGCGCUCCUGGCUUUUGGGAAGCUCUGAGCCCGGCCCUCCGCACAUCCUGUGUUGCUCCCUGGAACUCCCUACGCCUCUCGGCCUUUGAAAAGUUACUGUGCCAAUAAAAGGGUACAACUC